UACGUAGGGGGCUAGCGUUGUCCGGAAUCAUUGGGCGUAAAGCGCGUGUAGGCGGUCCGGUAAGUCCGCUGUGAAAGUCGGGGGCUCAACCCUCGGAUGCCGGUGGAGUACUGUCGGGCUUGAGUACGGAAGAGGCGAGUGGAAUUCCUGGUGUAGUGGUGAAAUGCGCGAGUAUCAAGGAGGAACGACCGGUGGCGAAGGC
rnacentral:rRNA from 1 species